CCGCAUACGUCCUACGGGAGAAAGCAGGGGACCUUCGGGCCUUGCGCUAUCAGAUGAGCCUAGGUCGGAUUAGCUAGUUGGUGAGGUAAUGGCUCACCAAGGCUACGAUCCGUAACUGGUCUGAGAGGAUGAUCAGUCACACUGGAACUGAGACACGGUCCAGACUCCUACGGGAGGCAGCAGUGGGGAAUAUUGGACAAUGGGCGAAAGCCUGAUCCAGCCAAGCCGCGUGGUGAAGAAGGUCUUCGGAUUGUA
rnacentral:rRNA from 1 species